UCUCAAGAGCGCACACACUCGUCUGAUGAUAGGGCAAGUUAGGUGAGGUCAAUGUGCGUUGCUGUGUGCUGAUAAGUAAACCUGGGCAUUGACAUUAGCCCAUCUAAAUCUAGACCUGAUAUUUAUCUCAGCAGACUGAGACCAGUCUAACACCUGGUGAUGGAAACAACAACAAGGUACAAAAAUGCACUUUUGGUGAAACAAAGUUUGCUCUCUUUUUUUUAAUUUUGUUUGUUUUUUUAACAACAAAGCCAGCCAUCCCUCUGGUCUCUGUGACAUGUGAACAUACUGUACAACUCUAUACCAGUCAUGCAUGCAAAGAGAUUGGUUGUGUAACCGGUCCAAGGUGAUGGUGGAGUAUUGAAUUACAAGGUUUGCGCGCGUGUGUGUGCUUGCGUGCACAAAAGUACACAUACGCAGAUUAUGAGGCCAAGGACCUGUUAUAAUUGCUGCUCCACACUCUCAGCCUGUAAGACUCAAGAUAAACUGGAAGAGGGUGUGGGGUCAUCAAAUCUAUGGUGCUACUGCCCAUAUGGGACCAGCCAACUGUCAACAUGCCUGCUGGCUGCAUCCACAACAACAUGACAGUGCGGAGAAGAGCAGCCUGCGCAAACAGCGCACAUAUGAGAGCCGAGCGGACACGGGCAGCAUGCUAAAAUGAUGCCCGAAAGAUGCGCAGUGAGGGGAAAAGUGCCCCCCAGCUCAAACCCAAAGGAGGCCCCAGCUGACUUAACACACCUUUACUACACAAGACCCCCCUCCUCAAAACACCACCAGCAUUGCAUGCAUGCACGCAACUACAGCAGUCCUACUCACCACAGAGGAAUCUGAAGCAGCGUCCAUUCUGGCACAUUUACACCUGCGGGAGCGCGCGGGGCUCCGGACGGUGAGCCGCAGGGUUUUAA